rnacentral:rRNA from 1 species
UAGGGAAUCUUCGGCAAUGGACGGAAGUCUGACCGAGCAACGCCGCGUGAGUGAAGAAGGUUUUCGGAUCGUAAAGCUCUGUUGUAAGAGAAGAACGAGUGUGAGAGUGGAAAGUUCACACUGUGACGGUAUCUUACCGGAAAGGGACGGCUAACUACGUGCCAGCAGCCGCGGUAAUACGUAGGUCCCGAGCGUUGUCCGGAUUUAUUGGGCGUAAAGCGAGCGCAGGCGGUUAGAUAAGUCUGAAGUUAAAGGCUGUGGCUUAACCAUAGUACGCUUUGGAAACUGUUUAACUUGAGUGCAAGAGGGGAGAGUGGAAUUCCAUGUGUAGCGGUGAAAUGCGUAGAUAUAUGGAGGAACACCGGUGGCGAAAGCGGCUCUCUGGCUUGUAACUGACGCUGAGGCUCGAAAGCGUGGGGAGCAAACAGGAUUAGAUACCCUGGUAGUCCACGCCGUAAACGAUGAGUGCUAGGUGUUAGACCCUUUCCGGGGUUUAGUGCCGCAGCUAACGCAUUAAGCACUCCGCCUGGGGAGUACGACCGCAAGGUU